GACGAACGCUGGCGGCGUGCUUAACACAUGCAAGUCGAACGAAGUGGCGAACGGGUGAGUAACGCGUAAUCAACCUGCCCUUCAGAGGGGGACAACAGUUGGAAACGACUGCUAAUACCGCAUACGGAAGGAGGGGUUUGCGUCUGAUUAGUUAGUUGGGGGGGGAACGGCCCACCAAGGCGAAGAGCAGUAGGCGGUCUGGGAGGGUGAACGGCCACCGUGGGACUGGGACACGGGCCAGACUCCUACGGGAGGCAGGAGGUGGGAAUCUUCCGCAAUGGAGGAAAGUCUGACGGAGCAACGCCGCGUGGGUGAUGACGGGCUUCGGGUUGUAAAGCUCUGUUAAUCGGGACGCGGUACCGGAAUAGAAAGCCACGGCUAACUACGUGCCAGCAGCCGCGGUAAUAC
rnacentral:rRNA from 1 species